CGGGGCGUAGCCCAACUGGAUAGAGCAUCCGCCUCCUAAGCGGAAGGUUGUCGGAUCGUGCCCGACCGCCCCGGCCA
rnacentral:tRNA from 3 species